rnacentral:lncRNA from 1 species
CCUAGAGAUAUGUAGCCUGCCUCCCCCAUUUAAUAGAAAAGAAAAGAAGUUGUAGAAUUCAGAGAUGAUAGACUACUGCCUUCCAGCCCUGUAAAAAUAGUGACUUCUGGAGUAACACUGAUCACACCAAAGGAGAAAGUGAUCAGUUUAGUUCUGCCCAUAAUUUGUAACUGAUUCUAUCAAGACAUAAUUCACACUUAAUUUUUUUCCACCUCCAAAAUUAGUGCUUGUCCUUAGGUAGAAAAAUUAGCUUGCAGAUGCAGAAAAGAUGCAGAGUUAAAAUUAUACAGUUGCUCUUAGAAGUCCUUCUCUGAGGUGCAAGAUGGUUCUCUCUUCCGUGUUCUUCUAGAAGCACUGUGGCUUCCUUUGAACAUCACCACAAUCUUCUGUGGAGCAACUUGCAGGUCUUUAGGGUCUGAGAACUGAUGCUAGUGAUCACAGGAGGCAGAUGCAGCUGCACAUGGCCAUCAUUAAUGCUGUUUCCUCAUUUUCUUCUUUCCCUCCCCCUAGGCUUAUGGUGGACUUCCUUGGUGGCUCAGCGAUAAAGAAUCUGCCUGCUAAUGUGUGAGACAUGGGUUCAAUCCCUGGGUCAGGAAGAUUCCCUAGAGAAGGAAAUGGCAACCCACUCCAGUAUUCUUGCCUGGAAAGUUCCAUGGACAGGAGCAAGCUACAGUCUAUCGGGUCACAGAGAGAUGGACACGACUUGGCGACUGCACAACACCGACAAGGCAUAUGCACUGGGUUGCGGUGAGAGGGAGAGAAGCACUGGCUGUGAGGAAACCAUAUUCCUGAGUCACCUGUGGCCCGUGUCAGGCACCCCUGCUGCUGCUGCUGGUUGUGGUGUAGAUGGGAGGAUGGCAGGGAACAGCUGAGUGAGUGGAGAGGUGGCGGAUCACACCCUGCUGCUCUCUUAUGGGCUCCCCUCUUACCUUUUCCCACAGAGAAUCAUGUCUUUCUAUUGCAGAUUUUCUUCGUUCUGUCCUCUGUCUCUACUCUGGCGCACUCAGCUCUGGAGAUAACCCAACCCCUUCCAGAGUAACAUUUCUCAUGAUGAUAGCUAUUAAUAAUCAUAAGUCAAUUUUCCCCAUUAUAAUUAGUUACCAUUAUUGUUACUGGUUGUUAUGUAUGAUUACUAUUUAUAUAUUAUAAUUAUGUCCUUAUGCUCUGCAGGAUUUGAAGUUCUUUUCAUGGCCAGUCAGUUUAAUAUGUGGCUCCUACUACUGAAAUUGUUCCUGGAGGAAUCUGCAGGGCACAGACAUUCCUGGGAUUGGCUACGGGGUCCUUGUGAAUGUGUCUGCUCCAAGUGCUGCACAAGCCUUGUGCUUUGUGGCUUGUCCUAGCUCUGUAAUACAAGCAUGAAUUAUGACCAACCUGCAGAGCAGAGCAGGUAGACAGCUAAGUGGAGCUCCGUAUUUCAAACAUGGAUCACUGAGGCCACAAUUUACAGGUAAUAGGUCACGGGUGAUAAGAAGGAAAGGGAUGCCCAGGAGUCCCACUGAAGAAGGGGCGUUUCAUCUGUCUGGGCUCUGAAUGUUGAUUAGUAGAGGCACCUGGGGGAAGGACAUUCCUGACUGAGGUGACAGCUUUCACAAAGUGCAUAGUGUGUUCAGGAAAUGUUGUUUUGUCACUAAGUUGUAUCCAACUCUUUGCAACCCAUGGACUGUAGCCUGCCAGGCUCCUCUGUCCAUGGGAUUCUUCAGGCAAGAAUACUGGAGUGGGUUGCCAUUUCCUUCUCCAGGGAUCUUCCUGACCCAGGGAUUGAACCUGCCUCUCCUGCAUUGGCGGGUGGAUUCUUUACCACGAGCCACCGGGGAAAUCCACUGUUCUGUACGUUCAGGAAAUGGUGAACACUGAAAAGGUCCAUAGACUGCA